UACGGGGGGGGCAAGCGUUGUUCGGAAUUACUGGGCGUAAAGGGCUCGUAGGCGGCCAACUAAGUCAGACGUGAAAUCCCUCGGCUUAACCGGGGAACUGCGUCUGAUACUGGAUGGCUUGAGUUCGGGGGAGGGAUGCGGAAUUCCAGGUGUAGCGGUGAAAUGCGUAGAUAUCUGGAGGAACACCGGUGGCGAAGGCGGCAUCCUGGACCGAUACUGACGCUGAGGAGCGAAAGCCAGGGGAGCAAACGGG
rnacentral:rRNA from 1 species